rnacentral:lncRNA from 1 species
GCGGAUAGUCAGAUGAUUCAGAUGAUUCAGACGAUUCAAGUUCAGAUGAGGAUACAUCAACUGCGAAAGAUGAUCCCGUUGCUGCACCUCAAAAACCAACUCCUCCAGUCCCAGCCAUACUUAGUACGCGUCCGGAUAGUUUAGAAGAAGAGGACAAGCUAAACACAUCAGCUGUUAAAGAAGAGAAUCCUGCUAGUGCGUCAACUGCGAAAGAGGAUCCGGUUGAUACGCCUCCAGACUCUGAGAAGCCUACUCCCAGCAGUAGCUAGUAGGCUUCCGGAUAGUUGAGACGAAGACGAUCGAGGAUCAGGGUUAUGAUAGUUAACUCAGAAAAUAUGAAGAGCAAGUAAUCCUCAUCUUAGUUCAAUGCAACCUCUUUAUUGGCCUCAGGCAAGCUGAGGUCUAAGAGAAAGUGGUAGCAUCUCUUCUUUGAUUAGGGUGCUGACUCCUUGUGGAGUUGGGCAUAGAUGAUUUUUGGAAAGUGUAGAAAAUUUGUAUGUAUUAUUUUCCCACUUGUGUUUGUAUCUUGUUGUAGCUUUGUGUUGUUUGUAAUUCUUGUUGUGCUUCUAUUAGAUUAUUAGGAUUAGGUUCCAAGAUCAGCACCUUUGUUAAUAUACAAAAUUUUGCUACAUGAUUCAAAUUUCAAUCAUCUGUGGUGUGACUUGUCUUUUUUUUUUCUUCUUCACUUAGCCAUGUACAACAGUACAAGUGUGCACUCGUGCUAUUCUCCAAUUAAAAUUCUCUAUUUCUAUUUUGUAUGAUAAACAUAACAAUAUUACUCCCUAAUAUUGGAUAAUUAAUCUUAAAACCUUAGGAUUGUUACAUAUCGUUCAUCGAUAAAGAUAAUAGGAGAUGUUACAUGAAUGAGCAAUAAAAGAUCUUAAAUACUUAUUCUCUCCUACUUUUCUUCAUUGAAUUGAAGCUAAUGAAUUUGAUUUAGUGCAUUUUUAUCGGUGAAUUGGAAAGUUAACAAUCAGACUUUUUCAACUAUUUACUACUAGAGAUUUUCAACUAUAUCCACAUUGAUCAAUGAUCUUAUAACAUCAUAAAAUUGCAUAACAAUCAAGGACUAGCAUAGUUGAGGCCGUUAAUGACGAGGUUGCACCAUUAUUAAUAUUUUGGUGCUCAUUUUAAAGUGACUGGGAUGAGUUUCUGCGGCCAAUUUUUAACCUUUCUCCUUAUAUUUAUUGAGAAUUUGAUGUGAUUCCCCCCAUGCUAACAAGGUUUUUUUUUAAGAGGUGAUUUCCUUUACCUCCGGGUGUAUCGUACACUCGGAUUGUACUCGACUUGAAUCCUGGCCUUUUUUUUUUUUUUAAAAUGAUACUAACACUAAUACAAAAUGACACUAACACUUAUUGGAAUUACACUAACACUAUUUUAUUUUACAAAUGACACUAUUACGAAAAUAAUACUAACACUAUAUUGAAAUGACAGUAACACUACGUGUAAAAUGACACUAACACUAUAGCGAAAUGACACUAACACUUAACAUUCGGGUAGGAUAGUCUAGUUGGGUUAGAUCCGGAUGGGGUACGAUAUAGGUGUACAGGAGAUUUUGUGUUUUUUUAAUUGGAGGAUAUUCCCUUUUGAUGAUAGUCCUUGACUCCUUGGAUAAUCUAUAUCUAUCUAUAUAUUAUAUAAAAGAGCAGUAUAACGUCUUCUCACCAAAAUUCCUCUCUUUCCACUUUUUUUUUUGUUUUGAUUCUUUUAUAAAAAUUGUCAAUUUUGAUUAAUAAAAAGAUAUUCAACAUGGAUGUUAAAUUAAAGAUGACGAAAAGAUCUUUAAUUUGAUACAAAAAUUAUAAUUAAUAAAUUUGAAACGAAUAAGUUAUUUUCAAUUAAAGUUACAAUUUCUUUUUUUUAUCUCUCAUCUUUUAUCUCUACUUUCUCUUUUCUAAUUUCUUUUAAUUAUAAUGUUCUUUCUCUUUCAUUCAUUUUUCAUAUUUUCUAUUUAUUUUUUAUAAUAACAAUUUAAUGGAACUAAAAAGAUGAAACUUAUAUUUAUUCAAUUUAGAAAAUUUUAGGUUAAGCAUAAUUUCUUUAAGUGAAUUUUAUAUUAAAAUAGAUUUUCAAAUACGGUUUAAAUUUAUUAAAUUUUCAGUAUGUUUUUAUAUGAAUUUUUAUAUUUAUUUAUAUUAACAUAUUUGUUAUUAUUAUUUCUUAAUUGAAUUUAAUAUUAGAUUGACUUGUCUAUUUAAGACAAAAAAAAAAAUGAUUAAUUGGAGAAUCAUUAUUGAUUCUUUAAAAUAUAAAAUAAAAGUAAAUUGAAGGGUUUAAUUUUAUAGUAGCAUGUCAAUUCCAAUUUACUUAAAAUCAUAUACUCCACAUUCUAUUUUUGAAAAUGAAUGAAACGUUCAAUCCAGUAUUUUUUUCUACUAACCCCAUUAAUAAAAAAAAAUAUUUGUCAGUAAACUCAAAAAUAAAAAUUUUUGAUAAAUAUAAAAAUAAUUAUUGUCAUGUUUAUUCAAAUUACAUGGUAUGUAUGCACUUACGACUCAUCGAUGAAACUAUUUUUCAGAUAAAUUUUUUCUUAUUAAAAUCGAAACCCAAACUAAUUAAAAUAAUACAACAUCAUUAAUCAAUAUUAUAAAAUUAAACUUAAUAAAUUGACCAUUUUUAUUAUGAAAACGAAUCAUAUCUUUUCGUGAAAUAAAUUCUUUGGAUGUUGUAUAGGAACUUUAUUUUAGAAUUUGUAUUUAAACAAAAUGACCACAUAAAUAUGAUUAAAUAUGCAGUCCAAAAGCUUUCACGCAGCUGAAUUUAGGGUUUUUGAUUUUCAGCAGCCGCUUCUCGUCGCGCCAGCCGUCUACCCAUUUGCAAUGGCCAAGAGAACUAAGAAGAUUGAGAUAGUCGGGAACUCGAUAUGGUGCUAGUUUGAGGAAGCAUAUAAAAAAACGGAGGUUAGCCAGCUUAACAAGUACUUUUGUGAGUUUUGCGGAAAGUAUGCUGUGAAGAGAAAGGCUGUCGGCAUUUGGGGAUGCAAGGAUUGUGGCAAAGUGAAAGCAGACGGUGUGACACCCAAAUCCAAUUUAAAUUUAAAUGAAAACGCACGCGAAAAAUCAUGACAAUAAAUAAAUAUUUAAUGUGAAAAUAAAGAAAUAAAUAUCUUAUUUUAAAAUACUUUACUAAAUAUAACAUUUUUAAGUAAAACUAAAUUUAAAAUAUUUGAUUCGCCAUUCGACCUUCCACGCGCCUCCGACCUUUAAAACCUGAAAAUGUUAAAUAUGGGAUGAGCAUACAGGGUACACUCAGUGUGGGAACAUGCAAUAAUUGUCCACGUUAAUAAAAUGGUAACACAUAUGAUCACAAGAUUUCAUAACAUUUGCUCGCACGGUGGCAUACCAAGGACCUUUCCGUCCUGGACCCAUUCAACGGGCCCCUGGCGAUAAUUAAAUGGUUGCAACCUUAACUUUUACAUUUAUAUUUCAUUGUGGCAUACCAAGGAUGGUGAAGUCCUGGACCCAUUGAGCGGGCCCCUAGCGAUAUAACUGAAUUUACAACACAUAUGGCAAACACAUAAUAUUAAAAUGGACAAAGAUUAACCACAGCAUAUACUGAAAUAAAUCCCACACCUAAGAUUUGAGCUUCAACUUGAAUGUUAUCUUGAAUAAUUCAAUCAAAAUUUACGUUCUAGUCGCGCCGCACCUAGUCUGCUGAAAUAGAAAUUUUAUUGAAAAAAGAAGGGUUCAAAUCCCUUGAAAGCACAAGCGCAGACUAAGGGCUGAGCCUCCAAAAAGAGAGCUCAAACGAAAUAAAACAACACAGCAACGAAAAAUGCCAAAACAACGAAACGGGAGGAGGCGGAAAGUCAACCUCAGAAGCUCCGGCCGAACCAUGAGCAUACAGGGUACACUCAGUGUGAGAACAUGCAAUAAUUGUCCACGUUAAUAAAAUGGUAACACAUAUGAUCAUAACAUUUGCUCGCACGGUGGCAUACCAAUGACCUUUCCGUCCUGGACCCUUCAACGGGCCCCUGACGAUAAUUAAAUGGUUGUGUUAGGUCAUGAGGGUCUUGGAUAGGUGUAUGGGGGGGAAUACACCUAUAGGCUAUUUUGCAAAUUAAUCUACCGACCUAAAUUAGAGGGAUCUCAGUCAGAGAUCAAAACGAAACUUUUCAUGCAAACAAAGACGCCUGUUUUACUGAAAUCAGUUUUGACCAAACAGGGUUGACGACUGAUACUGAAAGCUCUUCAGUAAAGAGUUAUCAGUUAAGUUGCUGGAACUUAACUGAUGCAAGUAAGGGCUUCAGUCGUGUUUGCUAAAACAGAGAUGAUAUCACUCUUCCUGACUAUCAGAGGAUAGUUCAGUCAGACCGAUAUCANAAGUUCAGAUGAGGAUACAUCAACUGCGAAAGAUGAUCCCGUUGCUGCACCUCAAAAACCAACUCCUCCAGUCCCAGCCAUACUUAGUACGCGUCCGGAUAGUUUAGAAGAAGAGGACAAGCUAAACACAUCAGCUGUUAAAGAAGAGAAUCCUGCUAGUGCGUCAACUGCGAAAGAGGAUCCGGUUGAUACGCCUCCAGACUCUGAGAAGCCUACUCCCAGCAGUAGCUAGUAGGCUUCCGGAGAGUUGAGACGAAGACGAGGAUAAGGGUGAUGAUAGUUAACUCAGAAAAUAUGAAGAGCAAGUAAUCCUCAUCUUAGUUCAAUGCAACCUCUUUAUUGGCCUCAGGCAAGCUGAGGUUAAGAGAAAGUGGUAGCAUCUCUUCUUUGAUUAGGGUGCUGACUCCUUGUGGAGUUGGGCAUAGAUGAUUUUUGGAAAGUGUAGAAAAUUUGUAUGUAUUAUUUCCCACUUGUGUUUGUAUCUUGUUGUAGCUUUGUGUUGUUUGUAAUUCUUGUUGUCCUUCUAUUAGAUUAUUAGGAUUAGGUUCCAAGAUCAGCA